rnacentral:lncRNA from 1 species
CAUGACACCUUUGCUUGGCACUGGCUCCCUAGCUUGGGUUCCCAUGAACACUCCAUAGUUAAACACUUGUGCACAUCUUUGCCACUCACUCUCUGGGGCUCUCACCUGAGACAAAAGGUCAUAGAAAAACUCCUGGAACCCCAAUAUAGUGGGUUUGAAACCAAGGAGAAAAUUAUUCUGGCAAGACAGUGUAUUCAAAGUUUCUCUGAGGUAGGCAAGGUGCCUCAGUGGAUCAAAGCACUUGCCAUACAAACCAAAUUUCCUGAGUUAGCCCUAUGACUCCUGGUGGAAGGAAGGAACAGACCUCCAAAAGUUGUCCUCUGAUCUCCACACAUGAGCUAUGACCUGAAUGUGACAUCCAUGCACAUGUAUUCUUUAUUAAAGGAGUUCUCUACAGUUCUCUGUAGCCGUUUCCUAGUCAUCAGAUGAGUGAACAUUUGGACUUCUAAAAGAAAACUAAAUGGAAAGGGAAAGAGGACAAAGAGAUGAAAAGAGGAGGAAAGGGCACGGGGUGCAGCUCGGCAGGAGACCAAGCGUCUAGCAAGUGCAUAUACGAGGCUCCAGCUUGAUCCCAGGCACUGGAAAGAAAAAGUGGGUGGGCUAAAAAGAAAACAAGAUGAAAGAAAUGACCCAGAUACCCUGACUCUGUUGCCAUUGGGAUCCCACUUACAGGAGAACUUUUCAUGUAGUCGCAACAGCUAUUUUUAGAGUCUAAAGGCCACUGAUGACUGCCUAUCAGGCUCGCUACUUCACAUUUGUGGUGUCUAGAUCUUAAAACAAUGCAAGCAAGAAAAACAAUACUGUUGGGAAGGUUGAGCGAUUUACCCAAGGCCACAGUCAGUCAAUGGCAAAACAGGAAGUUAAAGCCAUCCUGACUUCCACACCCCUGUCUGGGUCCCCCAUGAGUCAGGGUUCCACUGGUCCAGUGAGAGUUGCAAACCCACACCAGCUCCCUGCUGCCAUUUACAAACAGAACAAAGAAACUGGCCAGUCACCCAAGUAGAACCUCAAGUCCUUCCUUGCAGCUGACGACUUCCAAAUGGGCUGUUUCUCAAACUCUCGGUUGCAAGACCUCCCUGGAGACACGCUUACUUCUUGUAAGGCUGUUAAGAGCCAAAAGAAAUGACGAUAAAGGUUCCAGUGGGUAGUUUUGACUUGUUACCAGCCCUUUGUUUUCAGACUCACAAUCACCAAGUUCCUGAUUUCUUUUAAUGAGGCUUUCUCUCACAUGCGUGCUCACACAAAGACACAACCACAGUGGGGAGCAGGGAGAGAGACAUAAAUGAGUGUGUGCAUUGGUCAUGAUAGCACUUGCACAUGUCUCAGGUUGAAGACCAGCCUGGCAGCUAUUGUUUUUAGAACAAAACCUGCAAAGCCUAGCUCAUAUGCAGUUUUGUUAAAAACAAAACAAAAAAACUUUCAAUGAAUAUCAAACGAUCUGCAGGCUGCGGAAACAGGUCGGUUAAAUGCUCACCUUGUUUGAUCUUCAGAACCUUCGUUUAGAAAAAAAAAAAAGUUGGGUGGGGUGGCACACCUGUGAUCCCAGUGCAAGUGAGGUGGAGACAGGUGGCUGUCUGAGGUUCAGUGGCCAGCCAACCUAGCCUAGUAGGUGGGUUCCAGGCCUACACCAAAAUGUAAAAGAUAGAUGAUUUCUGAAAAAUGACACUUGAAGUUUUCCUCUGGCCUCCCAAGCAUGUGUACACAUGACCGAACACAUAUACACACACACACACACACAUCUGGGGAACAGAGGGCAUAAGGAGUGACCUGAAUUGAAUAAUUCCCUCUGUUCGGUUUCCAUCCUAUAGAAAGUCGUGUGCAGAAGGGAAGCAAAGCUUGUGUCACAAGACGGGGCAGGGAUUGGUGUGAAUCUGUUUCAUUCUGUUUAACAGAGGGCAAUGUGUUUGUGAGCCCCUAGACAGCACAAUCUUUAGAUUUAAAAUAGGCUUCCCAAACUGAUGCCUGGCUGCCUUUGUCCCAUAAGAAAGCAUCCCCAAAUAAGC